UACAGAGGGGGCAAGCGUUGUUCGGAAUUACUGGGCGUAAAGGGCGCGUAGGCGGCCUUCUAAGUCGAACGUGAAAUCCCCGGGCUCAACCCGGGAACUGCGUCCGAGACUGGAAGGCUCGAAUCCGGGAGAGGGAUGUGGAAUUCCAGGUGUAGCGGUGAAAUGCGUAGAGAUGCGGAGGAACACCGAUGGCGAAGGCAGCCCCCUGGGCUGACACUGACGCCCAGGCACGAAAGCGUGGGGAGCAAACAGG
rnacentral:rRNA from 1 species